CAGAUUUUAGGUGAUCCCUUCAUAGGCGACUUCUUUUAAGAUUCCUCUUUUGCCAGAGAGUGCUAACACUAUAUGCCCCGAUCAACAAUAAGAAGGAAUUCCUUCCAUUAUGUGUCCCAUCUCUUCCAACACCUGUCCUGCCUUCAGAUUCUUCGUCACAGAGUGUAAUUAUGCAGUUAGCCAAGUUGUUUGGUGCCACUGAGAGAUUCAUAUUCUCAGAGGAAACUGUUCUUCCUAAAAAUGAGAUGCCAACUCAAUGAGGAUCAGUUCUAUGCAGAUGCUUCAGAUGUGUAAUCUUAUACAGCUUCGUUGUGUAGCUGCAUCCAUCAUUAUGGACUCUUAUAUUUGAUCAUGGGCGUUUGCUGGGAAAAUAGUAUUUAAGGUACAGGCUUGUUUGUGUUCCCUGAGUUUGAACAAGUAUGUUUGGAAUUUGUAUUGGGUGUUUGUAAAACCAUGAAGGUCCUCUUAAACACACUAUACCCCAGAGAAGUGGCUUCUUUCCACUGCAGUGGGGAGAACACUACAAAUUCGGACUGUCAAAUUUAGAUUUGAUAGGUUUCUAAAGCACAGAUUAAUUUGUACUGUUAAAAUUUGAUCUAAAUUGUUCAAAUUUUUAGCGAAGGUGUAAUGGAGAAACUGUAGUGGAGGGAAACGAGGUCUAUUUGAGGAAAAUGAAAUUUUUUUUCUUUAUUUUUUGGGACCAGCGGGGAAGAUGGAUGUUGCAUGGAUCUCCUAAGAAUAUUAGAAACCUACAUGAUCACUCGUAAUUUUGAAGCGUACAAAAUCCUCCCUUGUUAAUAGAAUUACGAGUUUUUGGAUUUGUAAAAGCAAUGAUUCAUAGUUCAAUGGCUUAGAUGGAGUUGAAUUAGUGAUGACUAAAAUUUUACUUUUGGUUUGUAUAUUACAAAUCACUUGCAUCAACACACACACACACACGUUUGUAUUGAUGUAUGGAUGUAAGAUAAAUUUUGUAGUAAUAUUUACAAUUAAAGUGAAUAAUUUCAGAUUUUGAAUUAA